GGAGUGGAGUGGAGUGGAGUGGAGUGGAGUGGAGUGGAGAGGAGAGGAGAGGAGAAAAUGGCAGGCUGUAUGGAGCUGGCAGCAGGGCAGCCUGGUGCCUGCCAUCU
rnacentral:miRNA from 1 species